UGAAGGGCGUACGGUGGAUGCCUAGGUUUUGGAAGGCGAUGAAGGACGCGGCGUGGCAGCGAUAUGCUUCGGGGAGGUGCCAAGCAACCUACGAUCCGGAGAUCUCCGAAUGGGGAAACCUCAUCAUGCGAAAUCAUGAUGGUCUUUCAGCAAUGAAAGAAGCAUACCUUGGGAAGUGAAACAUCUCAGUACCAAGAGGAACAGAAACUAAUCAGUAUUUCGUCAGUAGCGGCGAGCGAACGCGAAGAAGCCCAAACUGCAGAAUUUCCCAAACUGCUUCAGCAAUGGAGCAGUUCGGGAGAUUCUCAGGGUCAUAAGGCAGAGAUAUCCGCUUCGAGCGGAAAAAAGUUACAAAUUGUUUUGAUAGCCGAACACGCUGGGAAGCGUGGCCCCAGACGGUGAAAGCCCGGUAGGCGAAAUCGGAACAACUUUUUCUUUGUCCUUGAGUAGUUCAAGACACGAAUGGCUUGAAUGAAUGCGCCGGAACUAACCGGUAAGGCUAAAUACUUCCAAAGACCGAUAGUGAAGAGUACCGCGAGGGAAAGGUGAAAAAUACCCCGGUGAGGGGAGUGAAAUAGAUCUGAAACCGUAUGUCUACAACGAGUCGAUGAGGGCGCAAGUCCUCUACGGCGUGCCUAUUGAAGAAUGAGCCUGCGAGUUUAUGUGUACUGCGUAUGGCUAAGGGCGAUGAGCCUGGAGCCGCAGCGAAAGCGAGUGUGAAUAGCGCGUUUGUAGUACGCAUAAGACCCGAAGCGAGGUGAGCUUGCCAUGAGCAGGGUGAAUGAAGCAGAAAUGCUUCAGGAGGCCCGAACCGUUUAGCCGUUCAAAACUAUCGGAUGACUUGUGGUAAGGAGUGAAAAGCUAAUCGAACUUCGUAAUAGCUGGUUCUCUCUGAAACAGCUUUUGGGCUGGCGUCGUGUGAUUCCGUUUACGGAAUCAAAUUGGGUAGUGGGGGUAGAGCACUGGAAGGAUGGGACAGGGCGCAAGCUCGCUCAUCCUAUCAAACUCCGAAUACCAUUACCGUUACACGGCAGUUAGUACGUGGGGGCUAAGCUCCACCGUACAAAAGGAGAAGAGUCCUAGAUCUCAAGUUAAGGUCCCAAAAUUCGUGCUCAGUGUAUCACAAGGAGGUGGAGUUUCAUUGACAAUGAGGAUGUUGGCUUAGAAGCAGCCAUCAUUGAAAGAAAGCGUAACAGCUCACUCAUCGAGAGACUCUGCGCCGAAGAUAAUCGGGGCUUAAGCACGAUACCGAAACUGAGGAUUCAUCUUGUCUUCGACAAGAUUGCGGAAGAGACAUGCGGAACGAACGCGGACGUAUGCGGAAAGAGGAAACUCAUUUUCUGCGUAGUUCGGCGUCAGUUCUGCAUAGUUCAGCAAUCUCGCCGAAGGCGAGAUGAGUGGUAAGAGAGCGUUCCCUUCGCAAUGAAGCCAAAGGGGUGACCCAUGGUGGAGCGCUGGGAAGUGAGAAUGCAGGCACAAGUAACCGCAAUGCGGGUGAGAGCCCCGCACGUCGAAAGAUCAAGGUUUCCUUGGCGACGAUGUUCGGCCAAGGGUUAGUCGGUCCUAAGGGGAUGGCGAGAGCCGGACCUGAUGGGCACACGGUUAAUAUUCCGUGACUGUGCGCAUGUGCGAUGGAGUGACGGAGGAAACAAGUGGCGGCGCCUUAUUGGAUUGGCGUCAACGUUUCUGAGGUGCGUUUCGCUGGCAAAUCCGCGGGACUGCUUUUAAUGGCAUGCAUCGUGAGACGGGGAGUACUUUCCGGUUUCGGCCGGGAAGGAUCGCUGCGAAGAGCCUUCCAAGAAAAGCUUCUAAGCUUCAACAUGCGUACAACCGUACCGUAAUCCGACACAGGUGAUCAGGUCGAGAAGACCAAGACGAACGAGUGAUUGUUCUCCAAGGAACUCGGCAAAAAAGCGGCCGUACCUUCGGAAUAAGGCCUGCCCUGCCGUGCAUAGCACGGAAGUAUCAAAACCCAAGUUUCAAGUAUCAAACAAGUUCCAAAAUUCAAGUUUAUAAACUUAAAAUUUAUUUACUUGAUACUUGUUUGUGAUUUGUUACUUGAUACUUGAUGUUUCCGCGCUGUGCGCGGCGGGGCCGCAGCGAAAGUCUCCCUGGCGACUGUUUACCAAAAACACAGCUUCCUGCGAACCCGUAAGGGGAUGUAUAGGAGGUGACACUUGACCAAUGCCAGAAGGUCAAAUACGGUCGUUGCUUUGUCGCAAGAUGAAGUGGUGAACUGUAUAAGCCCUGGUGAAUGUCGGCGAUAACUAUAAGAUGAUUGUAGUUAAAAAAUUCGGCCAUAUGCUGGAAACCCUGCGCAUGCUUUAGUACUACGAAAGUAGUGAAAAUCUAAAGACGAUGCCACGUAAAAUCAAAUCACGUGGCGAGCAGACAAUCAGCAGGAAAGGCUCAGUGUGUUGGAAAAUGGCAGGAGAGGAUUGCGCCGUUAUAGCGCGAGACCACCGUGGCUUGUAAACCACGACCUCGUAGCAGCGGAAAUGCACCGAACCUCCAGAGGGAAGAGGGUGAGUGAUAUCCCGCUCUCUUCCCGCCAUUUUCCAGCACAUUGAGAAUCCUCAGAGACUAUACGCCGAACUCGACUCUCUUAACUGAGAACAACGAGAUGAUAUAGUCCGACCUCUAUGGCGACAUAGAGAAUUGUGCAGUGCUACUGGUUUUCUGCACAGAAUAACAGACGUAAAUCGUCCUAAGGUUUUCCACUUAACUUCGGUUGAGUGGAGAAGGACUAGGACGAAGCGUCUAUAAAAUCAAAAGCUACCUCUCUUUGCAGUAAUGCACAGGUGGUCCUAAAAACACGGCUAUAUGCUGAAAUACUAUGGUAAGAUUAUUCCAUAGUGAAGAAGCAGGAAAGGCCAGAAAUUGAAGCAUGGAUGAGCGGUUUCACUGACGGUGAAGGAUGUUUUUCAGUAAGCAUCUUUCGCAAUAAAACCACAUCAUCCGGUUGGCAAGUUUUCCCGGAGUUUGUCAUAACUCAAGGAAAAAAAAGCUUGCCAGCACUUAAAAUCUUUCAAGAAUACUUUGGAUGUGGAACAAUCAUCCAAAAUAUC
rnacentral:rRNA from 1 species